UCGAUGCUACCUCUCUCGCGAAGAACAGUGACAACAACACCUUCUCAGGGUGCUUUCGGUUCUCUCAUGUUCAAGUGAACAAAAACAAGAACUUCCGGCCUCUUUUGAUUGAAGACAAACUCAAGACAAUUCAACAAUUAACAGCAAUAUUGAGCGUGAGGUAUGAAGAUAACUUACCUGCGGCUAGAAGAUUUUAGCCGGAUUAGUGUUGCAGGUAUAACACUGAUUAAUGGAAAUAUUGAGAGUAAGAGUGAAAUUAGCUUACCUACGGCGAGGAGGUUUUCGCCGGAUUAUUGUUGAGGAUCCUUUGAUGAAGAUGACACCACCUCUUUGGAUAUUAGGGAGACUUGAAGAUGGACUUCAAGUUGGAACUCUCCACCAAGGUAUGAAGAAUUUCUUCUUCACUCCCCUUCAAGAACUAUGUAGCUAGAAACUCUUAUUUUUUUUCAAGUAGUUUUCUUUGAUUUGAAGAAUUUCUCCUUCUAACAAAGAAACAUGAAAACUAUAAGAGAAGAGGAAGAAGUGAGAAAGCUAGUAGUAUAGUAGCUUUGGUGUGAUUUGCAAUGAAGUGAAGCCUUCUAUUUAUAGGAAAAGUUAAGGGUGUGUUUGGCACUUGGUAAACUUGAUUGGCAAGAUACAAUCAUUGCAAGGAAUAGAAUAAGAAUAAAAAUAUUCUUUAUGAGAUAUUUCUCU